UACGUAGGGUGCAAGCGUUGUCCGGAAUUAUUGGGCGUAAAGAGCUCGUAGGCGGUGUGUCGCGUCUGCUGUGAAAACUCAGGGCUCAACUCUGAGCUUGCAGUGGGUACGGGCAGGCUAGAGUUCGGUAGGGGAGACUGGAAUUCCUGGUGUAGCGGUGAAAUGCGCAGAUAUCAGGAGGAACACCGGUGGCGAAGGCGGGUCUCUGGGCCGAUACUGACGCUGAGGAGCGAAAGCGUGGGGAGCGAACAGG
rnacentral:rRNA from 1 species